AUGGGAGUGCAGAUCCUGAGCUCCACGCCGGAGCACUCCUCCCAGCACUCUUCCGGCGCGUCCACGGCCACGACCGAGUCGGGUGCCGCCGGCCGGCUGCCGACGACGCUGGGCCUACCUGUCGCCAUCCCCGACGAGGCCGUGACCUCGCGCUCGGCGUCGGCAUCGGCGCAGUGGGCGUCGUCGCGGUUCAAGGGCGUGGUGCCGCAACCCAACGGGCGGUGGGGCGCCCAGAUCUACGAUCGCCACGCGCGCGUCUGGAUCGGCACGUUUCCCGACGAGGACGCCGCGGCGCGCGCCUACGACGUGGCCGCGCUCCGCUACCGCGGCCUCGACGCCGCCACCAACUUCCCGCGCACGGCCUCGUCGACGGAGCUCGCCUUCCUGGCGGCGCACUCCAAGGCCGAGAUCGUCGACAUGCUCCGGAAGCACACCUACUCCGACGAGCUCCGCCGGGGCCUGCACCGCGGCCGCGGCAUUGUGGGGCGCGCGGAGCCGACGCCGUCGUGGGCGAGGGAACCCCUCUUCGAGAAGGUCCUGACGCCGAGCGACGUCGGCAAGCUGAACCGCAUCGUGUUGCCGAAGCAGCACGCCGAGAAGCACAUCCCCCUGAAGCGCACGCCGGAGACGACGACCACCGCUGACAAGGCCGUGCUGCUGAACUUCGAGGAUGGCGAGGGGAAGGUGUGGCGGUUCAGGUACUCGUACUGGAACAGCAGCCUGAGCUACGUGCUCACCAAGGGCUGGAGCCGCUUCGUCCGGGAGAAGGGCCUCGUCGCCGGCGACGUCGUCGUGUUCUCCUGCUCUGAGUACGGACAGGAGAAGCACUUCUUCAUCGACUACAAGAAGACCACGACGGUGAGCGGCGGCGCGGCGGCGUCGCCGCCGCCGGUGGUGGAGAAAGGCAAAGGAGAACAAGCCCGCGUCGUGAGGCUGUUCGGCGUCGACCUCGCCGGAGAGAUGAGGGGGCUAGCGGCGCCGGCGGAGCUGGAGUUGUUCAAGAGGCAAUGA
rnacentral:rRNA from 1 species